CAUAGAACCAAUUUCUCGUCAUCCUUUGUCAACCAUUUCUUGUGUGCCUUUGACUCUGUGGACCUCCUGUUCAAUUCUUUGCUUCUUUGACUGUGAGAAGCUACACACAGGGAUCCAAAUCUUUACUCAAUGGGAAGGAGAAAACUUCCUCAGGGAGGCAGUGGACUUGCUUCACGUUGACUGGUGAGGGCAGCAGAGGGCUUUCAAGUGAACAUAGUUUAGAAUGUGGCCUAUGAGACCAUCAAAGCAACUUGGGCUUUCAGACUUUUAC
rnacentral:lncRNA from 1 species